rnacentral:lncRNA from 1 species
GCGAAGUCAUGAACCACCCGCUUUUCGUCUCAGUUUUCACUACUUUUGAGUAUAAUAAAUUUUCCUCAAAGUGAAUAUCAACAGCUGAUAUCAACUCCGAUGUUAAGAAAUUUCGGUAUUCGGUACGACAUAUAUUAGUAUUAUUAUGGUGGAGGAUGGCGGGAAAGGAGUCGGAGAAGAAUGACCGGUGACCGGAAGGGAAGGUGGAGAUGGCGUUUUGGACUAGAGGAUUAGAGGAAGAUGGCCAAUAAGAGUUGCAAAUUUUUUGCCAGAGAAUAUCAUCGGAACAGAGAUUUUUAAGUUGUGAAGAAGCGGAACUGGUGGAAAUAAGAGUUGG